AGCACACAAAUUAAACCUUCUUUUUGUCAAUUGUAGUAAAGAAUGUAAGUAGGGAUCGUUCUAGGCCGGGGAUUAUGAGGGAUUGCUAAAACACUUGAAACUGACUCAAAAACGUAAAACAAAGUUAAAUCACUAAACUAGACUCAAAGAAUGCAAAACUAAACUAUAAAACACUAAAACAACUCAAAAGACUCAAAACAGCUCAAAACAAGCUAAAAGACUCAAAUCUGCCACUAAUAAAGAAUUUGGACGAAAACAGGUUGUAACUUGGUUCAAAACACUUAAAAACACAAACAAAAUCACUUUCUAACUAAUAUGACUCAACAAAGUAAAGGAGGGGGAUUGAUUUUGACGAAUUGGAAAACAAAACAAACAAGUUGUAAACUAAACAGAUUUUUGGACGAAUUUGGUUAAAUUGAAUGGAUGGAAGGCUAGCUAGGAGGUUCUUCUCCACACAUGUCACACUUGCAUACAAAACGAUUUCCAAUUUCUUUUCAAUAAACCAUGAAUUCUCAACGCCCCAGAUUAACCGUGAAUUGCACUAAUUAACCCUCAGAUUUUCCUAAAGUUAUUGAAUUGGAUGAUUGCAUACGACAACCCAAAGUAUUCCCCACAAGUUCCCUACAUGAAUUGCAUAAUAGAGAUACAAGCAAGAAUCAUUAAAUUCUAUGAAAAUCAUAAGCAUUGACGAGGCACUUGUUACUAUGAAUUGCAUGAAACUUAUGCCAAGAAUUUACUUAACGCGAUUGUGAUUAACAACCUUUACUACUUGUGAAUAUAAGUUCAUAACGAUUAGGUGAAACUCCCUUUAUCCUAGCAUUAGAUUUAUGCAUGAAAAUUAAGCGUGCACUCUCAACCAACACACACAAAUCAGUUUUAAUUCAUAUAGAUAAGUAAAUUGAAUUCACAACUUAUGAAACACAAUUAGAAAUAAUCAAAUCAUAUUGCAAGCAUAAACAUGGUUUCGAAUUCCCCCCUAGCUAAGGGGGGUUUAGUUUCUCAUACUUACAAAGCAAAGAUACAAAAAUUUAGACAUUGAAAACAAAAGAAAGAAAACACCUAAACGCUCCAACGAUCCUAACUUGAAUGGCAUGCACGUCUAAGGCUUUUCCUCCUUCUUCUUUGCUGCGGCACAAGGUUUUGGGGACAUGUUUGGAUGGUAUUUGUAUGGAGGAAUGGAUGGGAGAUGGUAUGGUGGUGUUUAGGAUGGAUGGGGGGUGUGGCAAAAGAGAGAAAGAUGGCUGAAAAUGUGUUUGUGACGUAGUGUAUGAAUGUGUAGAUGGGUUUGGCUAAAAGAAUGGAUGGAGAAUGGGUGGUGUGGCUGAUUGUGUUUUUGAUGUAGUGUAAUGUGUAGUGUUCUUCCGUUCACUCCUUAUUUAUAGAAGCUCCAAAGCAAAGAAUCACUCAAGUGGCUUCAAUAAACAAUACAAACAAAGACCAAAAUGAUGCAAAAACAGCUAGUUUACAUGCUCUUUUAUCAUUGUGUCUUGCCUUUAACAAAAGGCAAUCAUUCCUCUCUUGCUAAUUCAACUCCUUUGUAGCUGUCCAUGUGCCUUCAUUCUUCAAUUUCUGAUGCAUUUGCCUUGUAUUCCAUCCCUUUUCCACAUGUACUAGCUGUUAGACAACUUUCACACACAUGUUUUGCAUCAUUUCAUCUUGCAAACAUCAACUUUCGGCCACUUUACACCUCUACACACAUGCUAU
rnacentral:lncRNA from 1 species